AGUCCACCGUGGUUAUUAUUGCACUGCUAUUAUACAUCGUUUCUGGUUGUUAUUGCAAAUCCAUCAUUUUUGGUUGUUAUUGCAGCAGACGGGUGAUGGAGCAGCAGACAACAGAUGGUUUCAGAACGGCGGUGCGCGGUGGGAUGACGGUGCACAAGAAGUUUCGAGCGACAGUCAUGGAAAGGGAGAUAAAUGAGUCGUGC
rnacentral:lncRNA from 1 species